UACGAGGGGGCAAGCGUUGUUCGGAAUUAUUGGGCGUAAAGGGCGCGUAGGCGGUUUGACAAGUCUGAUGUGAAAUCUAUGGGCUCAACCCAUGAGCCUGCAUUAGAAACUGUCGGGCUUGAGUAUGGGAGAGGUGAGUGGAAUUUCCGGUGUAGCGGUGAAAUGCGUAGAUAUCGGAAGGAACACCUGUGGCGAAAGCGGCUCACUGGACCAUAACUGACGCUGAGGCGCGAAAGCUAGGGGAGCAAACAGG
rnacentral:rRNA from 1 species